rnacentral:rRNA from 1 species
UACAGAGGAGCCAAGCGUUGUCCGGAUUGACUGGGCGUAAAGCGCACGCAGGCGGUUUCGCGCGUGGGGUGUGAAAUCUGGCCGCUUAACGGCCAGGCGCCAUCCCAUACGGCGCGACUGGAGGGCUGCAGAGGUCGAUGGAAUUGCCGGUGUAGUGGUGAAAUGCGUAGAGAUCGGCAGGAACACCCAGGGGGAAACCAGUCGACUGGGCAGCACCUGACGCUGAGGUGCGAGAGCGUGGGGAGCGAACCGG